UGUCAUCUUUCCAUAUUAGUACAUUUUGAUUUGUUUUACUUUUGAUGAUAGUACCUUGUUUUUGGUGUUGGGGAUUGGAUCCAGGGCCUUCCACAAGCUAAGCAUGCACCCUAUCACCAAGCUAUGCCAUCAGCCCUCAGCAUCUUAUUAUCUAUCUAUUUCUUUCUUUCUUUUUAAAUAUUUAUUUAUUUGUAGUUGAACACAAUAACCUUUAUUUAUUUAUUUAUUUUAUGUGAUGCUGAGGAUCGAACCCAGGGCCUUGCACAUGCAAGGCAAGCGCUCUACCGCAUAACCCCAGCUCCUUAUUAUCUAUUUCUAUUAAAUAUUUCUGCUUAAUAAUUUUGUUUAUUGAUUUAUUUUUUUGUGGGUGGUGCUGGGACUCGAACCCAGGAGUACUCUACCACUAAGCUACAUCCCCAGCCCUUUUUAUUUAUUUGUUUAUUCGUCUGUUUAUUUAUUUAUUUUUAAAAUAUUUUUUUAGAUGUUGAUGGACCUUUAUUUUAUUCAUUAAUGUAUAUGUGGUGCUGAGGAUCGAACCCAGUGCCUCACACAUGCUAGGCAAGCGCUCUACCACUGAGCCACAACCCCAUCUUUUUAUUUUAUUUUUUUGGUACUGGGGAUUGAGCUUAGAGGUACUUUACCACUGAGCUACAUCCCUAGUCCUUUUUAUUUUUUGUUUUUGAGAUAGGAUCUCUCUUAAGUUGUUGAGGGUCUUGCUAAGUUGCUGAGGCUGGCCUUGAAUUUGUAAUCUCCUGCCCUCAGCCUCUGUAGUUGCUGCGAUUACAGGCAUGUACCACCAUACCAGGCUUUAUUUAGUAAUUUUUUAUAAUAUAAGUUGUGACUAGUCUUUGUUAAUAUAAAUAAAAAUUGCUUUAAGAAACAUCUUUAUGCAUAUACAUUUGUUUUUGGAUGCUUGAAUCUAUUUUUGUGUAAUAAGUUCCUAAUCGUAAAAGCCUAGAUCAAGGGUGUGUGUGUUUGUUUUAUACUUUAAUAUGACUAAAAAGUGUGUUAGAAUUUCCAGUCCUAUGAAAAGAGAUGAGCGUGUCUGUUUUCCUGUACCUGACCAUCUCUUCUCUACGGUAUUGAUGAUUUGGGCUGGAUAGCUUUUUUUGUUGCAGGCUGUCCUGUGCAUCAUCGGUAUUAGCAUAGCCUUGUCUUAUACCCACUAGGUACUGGUAACUUCCUUUCCCCAGUAGUUAUAAGUAAAAACAUUUCUAGAUGUUGCCAAACACCCUCUUGAGGGUUGAGAACCAUAACCUUAUAUAGGCCAUGCUAUGUGGCCUGGUAAUCAGUGGAUAUAGACAAGUGAAUGACUACUCCUGGAGAAAGUAAGCAUGGUGGGUUUUGAUUGAAAGACUCUGUUUUCUGAAGAUGAAAGGAAUACCUGUUCCUGGGUCUUUGGUCACAUUAUAUCAAGAUCAUACAUUUGUACCUUUCUAGGUCAGGAUGUUAUUAAUAAACUAAUGGAAUUUCAGUUCAUCAUUUGAUUAAAUACUUUUAGCUCUUGAAGUUAUGGUCUAUAAAGCAAAGUAAAUAUUAACAAAAAUAUAGUAAGUCCUUUGGGAACACAAAUAGGCAAAGAACAAAUGGUCUUUUCAAUAUCAGAGUACUUUGAAUGAACUAUAAUGUACAUUAGGUAAGGGUGGAACUCCAGUUUAUUUAGAAAUGUCUCUUGAGUAUCUUCUGUGUGCCAAGUCACUAUGCUUUGUAUUGCAGUACCUACCCUAACUGCCUACUGAAGAAGACUAAUAAGAAAACAACUAUCAGCAGGUUGAAUGUUAUAAUUGAAGUGAACACAGCAUGCUAAGGGAGUACACAGGAAAGGUAUCUAAUACAGUCUGAGAUUAGGGAAGGCUCAUUAGAGGUGAUACUUGAAUGAUGGGCAGGAACAAAAGAAUUCAAGAAGAGAGGAGAAGGGUUGACUCAGGAAGAGUAUCAUUUGACCAGAGGUAACAGACAUUGUAUCUGAAAAUAGUUCAUUGUGCCUGGGCAUUUUGUGAGAGGUAGGAAUGAACAAAUUUCAGGUAGCCUUUUGUACCCAAUAGGUGUCUUCUGGAGGAUUUAACUAGAGAGUGAUGAAAGUGGUCAGAUUUUUAUUUUGGAAUAACAACCAGAAACAAUUGUGCUGGGAGGAUUAGAAAAAGGGCAAGAGUAGAGGUAGAGAGACCAGCUAGGAGACUCUUGCUGUAAUCUUGUGUAGAGAUGAUGAGAGCCUAAGCUGACACAUUGGCAGGAUGAGUGGAGAGGCUAUUGGACUUAGAAGAUAUUUAGGAAGUAGAAUGAACAGGAAUUGGUGAUUGGUUAACCAGAUUGAUUAUAGUGACUUUUACAUGAUGAAAGGAAAUAGAGGUAGAGGAGAUAAUGAAUGAUUCCUUUUUUUUUUUAACCUAUUGACUUGAAACCAUUUGAAAUCAAAGGAGAACCCUAAUAUAGUUCUAGAGAUAAUUGCAAUUGGUAUUUUCAGUAUGUCCUUCCAGACUUUUUACAUGUAUAUAUGAAUGUAUGUGUGAUUUUGUAUAUGAGAUUUAAUCAUCCUAG
rnacentral:lncRNA from 1 species